rnacentral:rRNA from 1 species
UACGGGGGGAGCAAGCGUUGUUCGGAUUUACUGGGCGUAAAGGGCGCGUAGGCGGCGCGACAAGUCACUUGUGAAAUCUCCGGGCUUAACCCGGAGCGGCCAAGUGAUACUGUAGUGCUAGAGUGCGGAAGGGGCUACUGGAAUUCUCGGUGUAGCGGUGAAAUGCGCAGAUAUCAGGAGGAACACCGGUGGCGAAGGCGGUUCUCUGGGCAUGUCCUGACGCUGAGGAGCGAAAGUGUGGGGAGCGAACAGG